rnacentral:lncRNA from 11 species
AUUAUGCCUUUCAGGAAGGAGUGGGGACAGAAACCCCAAAACAAGCUUCUGAAAGGCCUGGCCUCCAACUCACCUUGCUCAUCCCCUGCGUCUUGGUUGGUGGUGUUCAGGAAGGCAUAGUUUCCUAAGGCUCCCAAGUCAAAGCCCCCCAGAUGCCUCCAGGUGGAGGUGGGCUGGUGGUCGGUGCUAUUCUCCCCCUGGUUAAUACGGGUGCCCUUGAGUUCCUCCAAGGUGAACUUGUCCAGUUCAACAGUGCACUUCUCUGGGUCCAAGCGCUCGGCUUGUGAUGCGCAACAAUAGGGCUGGCGGCAAGUACCACAGCAGAACAUCGCCGUUGGAUUGCUGCCCUUUGCGGGACAAUGGAAAGGCCCCAAUCUGGAUCUAGCCACCAAGGAGUGACACAUUUCCCCUUUGUUGGCCGGAGCCAGUAUUAGCAGCAGGAGAUAUAAGCAGCAAGUCCUCUCCAUGGCUCAGGUGUCCACUAUCCGAGAGGGCAAGGUCGAGUCUCGAAAACAGAUGUCUUCGUUCGCAAUCCACAAUAUAGCCCAACCCUCCCCUCUAGUAGCCAAACCAGAAGUUUCCAAGAGGCCCUUUUAAAGCUGUCCUCUGGACCUCCAACUCAGUUCAGCUGGCCUGGCCCCAAUCCAUCUUUGCCUCUUGUUCAAAGGGGUUUGUCCUUACCUUCUUCCCUUGAGGCUGAGAAAGUGUAACCUACCCAAUAUCUAGAACUGAGUGGGAUUCAAACUCAUGGAAAUAAUUCAAACUGAUCUCCCAGAGAGAUAUAGUCCAAUGCUCAAACCACAACACCACACUGGAAUUUACUCAACGGUUAGCUGAGGUUGAUGACGAUUUACUCGGUGAUGCCCGGAGAAGCUACUUUCGGAGAUGCUGAGGGUUGCAACCCCCAAAAACUGGAGCUACUAUGUGCUGAUUGUUGUGGCCCUCACUGGCUCCUUGGUCUUCCUCUGCUUCUGUUCUCCUGCCCUUAAAUGGCUGCUUUCCCGCUGCCUCCGCUCCAAUGGAGAUGAGGCAAGGACUCCCUUGAGGGACGCUCGCUGCAGUCGAUGCUGGCCCCCAAACUAUGGCACCCUCUCUGAGACUGUGGUCCCACCGCCCCUCAUUCCCAAGGACACCCAAGAACACACUGGAGGCCAAGAAGCCCCAGGAGAAGUCCCCAAGGCUUCCGUGGAGAAGCGUGGAGACCAACCUGGAACUGAUUCAGAGAUCACCUUGGAAGUGGAAGAUGCUGAAGGCCAAGAAGCCCCAGGAGGUCCCAAAGCUCCAGUGGAGAAGCGUGGAGACCAACCUGGAGCUGAUUCGGAAGUCACCUUGGAAGGGGAAGAUGCUGGAGGCCAAGAAACCCCAGGAGGCCUGAAGGCUCCAGUGGAAAAACGUGGAGACCAACCUUGAGCUGAUUCAGAAGUCACCUUGGAAGGGGAAGACCUGGCCUAAGCAGCGGUGGCCCCAGUAGCCCUCCGUCAAGCAAACCUUGCUCUGUACAAUCAUCAUUUUUAGGCUGUAUGACAUUUUAAUCUCAUAUUAUCGAAUAGGGUGGCUAUUCUUUUAAAUGCAACAACUUCCCCAAAUUUUCCUUUUACAAACACCAUGCUGGCAUUACACCCAUCGCCUUUUGGUGCCAGGAUGAGUAGCUUGUAACUCUCUAUAUGUUGGACAGCAAGUCCCAUCAGCCCCCAUCAGUCAAUGGUGAAGGAUGGUGGGAGUUAAAUACUACCAACAGCUAGAAUGCCUUUACUUUGUACCAAAUGCUCCCCAACUUUAGAGCAGGGUAACCAAGUGUAGCUUUCCAAACAUUGGACUCUAAUUCCCAGCAUUUCUGGAAUGGUUGGGACUGGGGUUUGCAAUCUAUAUAGUCCCCAUCCUGUUACAGAGACUUACCCCAAUAUUUGGCUACAGCGCCCAGCAUUCCAAACUUCUGGUUGUUGUAGUCCAACUGUUCAAUUGCUGGCACAGAGACUAUUUCUCCAAAGAGCUUCAUAGCCAAGACCAGACAAGAAAUUAUAUCAUUGAAACUCCCCAUGAAACAUCUGAGCUGGCAAUACCUGGGCAUCCUGAAUCCUAGAGCAAUGCAAUUUGGGUUGCUUUACCUACAAAAUAAUUCUAGUCCAACUGAUAUUUCCUUUUGAACUCUGAAUAUUUAGAUUGUUCAUAUCUCUGGAGGCAAAACUAAGGGUAAAUGUGCCUUAUGGAGUUUCUAUGUUACAUGGGGUUGCCUUUUUAAACAAACUUUAAAAGUUCCACAAUCACUUCUGUGAACUUGAACCCAAAGAAGCCAUAAUCACUUUCUGAACACACUACUUUGAAGACACAAGAAGAAUCUGUAUUCUUCCCACAGACACACAACAUUAUGUUUUCAAAUCUAGGCACCAAAGUAUCUGAAAUAAAGUAUGUAUCAUUUUGCAAUGGGUCUCCUGAAAGAGUUUGUUCAAAGUGAGGUUUCAUCGUCGGUUGGUCUUAUGCCUUUGCUGCAAUUGUAGUGCUGGCUCUACUAUCUGGGAUGUGGCCAUAGUUUUCCCCAGAACCCAAGCCUUGCUGGGUUACUGUAGCUAUAUAGGAUGCUGUGGAAGCAUGGGAGGUGUGAUUUUGUAAGGUCUUGAGUCUUCUCUGUCAAGCUACAACUCCCAAGACUCCAUGACAUUGAGCCAACUGAGUUAAAGUGGUGUCGAACCAUAUUAAUUUCACAGUGCAGGUGCACCCAGGAUAGGCAAAACAGACAUGGAGUUUCAUGUGGCAGCCAAGACUGUAUGGGUGUCUCCAAAGUCCCUGGAUGAGUUGUUUUCUGGCUGCUGAGGAUGGUCAAUUGCCUAGCAGGCAAUCUACAAAUGCAGCAAUUCGUUUUUAAAGAUUUCCUGCAUUGUUUAGCAUUUGGGAUGGGGUGGGAAUACCUAUUUUGAAAACCAGAUAUGAGCAUGUAGUUUUGCUUAAUACUUUCCUCAUUUGGGAGGGGUGUGUGCUACACUGUGUGGUCACCCAGAGGGUCCCAGCAAGCCUGUAGCCAAAGGGCGGUUUAGGGGUUCAAACCACCCCCCAAAAUUUUCAGAUUAAAAAAAAAACUGGUUUACUCAUGAAUUUUAACUGGUUAACCAAAUCCCCACACCAAGU